AUAAAGACUAAUGACCAGAAGAAAUAGUAAUGCGAACCAAUUUUGGCAAACAAGCUGGAUAUGUCUGAUUCUGCAUUCUCUACUUCAGCUCGAAGCUCAAGUGCUUUAUCAGUCAUUGCCUUUUCUAAGUAACGAGAGGAUUUUGUAUUCAACUGGUGAUCGGGACACACAUUAGAGCUUAACUUACCAGAGUUAAUGAGAUUUCUUAGUAGAUAAUCCUUCUCUUGAAUCGUUUCUUUUGCUCGGGUAUAUUUAGUUUCAAGAUCAUUGAAAGCUUGUUCAGCAUUCUUGAGUUCACCCUGCCAGAGGCUGGAAAGUUCAGUUAUCUUGAUAAAACAGAGACAUGGGAAGCAAAAUGUGUAACUUCUCAAUGAUCUUGGAAUAAAUUAAGACGUGCUUAGGCUGCCUACAAGAUAGAGCAGAUCAAGAGUAGCACUCCAGAUAUAUUGAUGGUAAUAGCACCUUCUGAGCUGCCUCUUCACUCAGGUAACGGUCUUGUGGUAUGUAGAUUCCGUUCUUUUCCCUCGUUGC